UACGUAGGUGGCAAGCGUUGUCCGGAUUUAUUGGGCGUAAAGCGCGCGUAGGCGGCUAUUUAAGUCGGAUGUGAAAGCCCUCGGCUCAACUGAGGAAGUGCACCCGAAACUGAAUGGCUUGAGUACCAAAGAGGGUCGCGGAAUUCCCGGUGUAGAGGUGAAAUUCGUAGAUAUCGGGAGGAACACCGGUGGCGAAGGCGGCGACCUGGGUGGAUACUGACGCUGAGGCGCGAAAGCGUGGGGAGCAAACAGG
rnacentral:rRNA from 1 species